GACAGAGGUCCCGAGCGUUAGGCGGAAUCACUGGGCUUAAAGCGUGUGUAGGCGGAUGCCUAAGUACCUUGUGAAAUCCCACGGCUCACCCGUGGAACUGCUCGGUAUACUGGGUGUCUUGAGCCACUUAGGGGCUACCGGAACAAAUGGUGGAGCGGUGAAAUGCGUAGAUAUCAUUUGGAACGCCAAUGGUGAAAACAGGUAGCUGGGAGUGUGCUGACGCUGAGACACGAAAGCCAGGGGAGCGAACGGG
rnacentral:rRNA from 1 species